UCAGAAUUCAGGCAGUUGCCGCCAGU
rnacentral:piRNA from 1 species